CAAUGGGCGAAAGCCUGAUCCAGCCAUGCCGCGUGAGUGAUGAAGGCCUUCGGGUUGUAAACCUCUUUCAGUCGGGAAGAAAAUGGCCGGGCCCAUACAAGGAGGCCAGGACCGUACCCGGACAAGAAGCCCCGGUUAACAACGUGCCAGCAGCCGCGGUAAUACA
rnacentral:rRNA from 1 species